rnacentral:rRNA from 1 species
UACGGCUCAGUAACACGUAGUCAACAUGCCCAGGGGACGUGGAUAACCUCGGGAAACUGAGGAUAAACCGCGAUAGGUCAUGAUUUCUGGAAUGAUUCAUGGCCGAAAUCUACAUGGCCCCUGGAUUGGACUGCGGCCGAUCAGGCUGUUGGUGAGGUAAUGGCCCACCAAACCUGUUACCGGUACGGGCUCUGAGAGGAGGAGCCCGGAGAUGGGCACUGAGACAAGGGCCCAGGCCCUAUGGGGCGCAGCAGGCGCGAAACCUCUGCAAUAGGCGAAAGCCUGACAGGGUUACUCUGAGUGGUUUCCGCUAAGGGAAUCUUUUGGCACCUCUACAAAUGGUGCAGAAUAAGGGGUGGGCAAGUCUGGUGUCAGCCGCCGCGGUAAUACCAGCACCCCGAGUGGUCGGGACGUUUAUUGGGCCUAAAGCAUCCGUAGCCGGUUCUACAAGUCUUCCGUUAAAUCCACCUGCUUAACAGAUGGGCUGCGGAGGAUACUAUGGAGCUAGGAGGCGGGAGAGGCAAGCGGUACUUAGUGGGUAGGGGUAAAAUCCGUUGAUCCAUUGAAGACCACCAGUGGCGAAGGCGGCUUGCCAGAACGCACUCGACGGUGAGGGAUGAAAGCUGGGGGAGCAAACCGGAUUAGAUACCCGGGUAGUCCCAGCUGUAAACGAUGCAGACUCGGUGAUGGGCCGGCUUUAUGCCGGCUCAGUGCCGCAGGGAAGCCGUUAAGUCUGCCGCCUGGGGAGUACGGUC